rnacentral:rRNA from 1 species
AGUCGAGCGGCAGUUGAGUAGUAAUACUUAACCUAGAGCGGCGCACGGGUGCGUAACGCGUAUGCAACCUACCUUUUACUGGGGGAUAGCCCGGAGAAAUCUGGAUUAAUACCCCAUGGUACCUAGAGGUCGAAUGAUUUUUAGUUUAAAGAUUUAUCGGUAAGAGAUGGGCAUGCGUCUGAUUAGCUAGUUGGCGGGGUAACGGCCCACCAAGGCGACGAUCAGUAGGGGUUCUGAGAGGAAGGUCCCCCACACUGGCACUGAGAUACGGGCCAGACUCCUACGGGAGGCAGCAGUAGGGAAUAUUGGGCAAUGGUCGCAAGACUGACCCAGCCAUGCCGCGUGCAGGAAGACGGCCCUCUGGGUUGUAAACUGCUUUUAUCUGGGAAGAAAAAGUCCAUGCGUGGAAAAUUGCCGGUACCAGAUGAAUAAGCACCGGCUAACUCCGUGCCAGCAGCCGCGGUAAUACGGAGGGUGCAAGCGUUGUCCGGAUUUAUUGGGUUUAAAGGGUGCGUAGGCGGCUGAAUAAGUCAGCGGUGAAAGACUUCGGCUUAACCGGAGCAGUGCCGUUGAUACUGUUUAGCUUGAGUGUUGGAGGGGUACAUGGAAUUGAUGGUGUAGCGGUGAAAUGCAUAGAUACCAUCAGGAACACCGAUAGCGAAGGCAUUGUACUGGCCAACAACUGACGCUGAGGCACGAAAGUGUGGGGAUCGAACAGGAUUAGAUACCCUGGUAGUCCACACCGUAAACGAUGAUUACUCGCUGUUAUGGUGUAAGCUGUAGCGGCCAAGCGAAAGCGUUAAGUAAUCCACCUGGGGAGUACGCCGGCNA